AUGGCGAGCGACAACGGGCAGAGCUCGGUGACGCUGACCGUGAACAGCCUCAAGGACGAGGAUUCCGGAUCCUAUUUCUGUGCCAAAGCUGCUGGGCUCCGGGCGGCCGUGACCCUGCUGGAGUCCGGGGGGACCUCCAGCCCCCCGGGGGGUCCCUGCGCCUCCUCUGCCGAGGGUCCGGGUUCAGUUUCAGCAGUUUUGGGAUGGGCUGGGUCCGCCAGAGACCCGGGCAGGGGCUGGAGUGGCUCGCAGGGAUCACCAACAAUGGUUACACCGACUACGCGCCAUCGUUGAAGGGCCGGGUGACGAUCUCCAGGGACAACGGGCAGAGCUCGGUGACGCUGACCAUGAACAGCCUCAAGGACGAGGACUCCGGAUCCUAUUUCUGUGCCAAAAGUACCUAUGCUGCUCUCGGCCCUUUGUCCCAAUUCUCCCCCAUUUGCACCAAUGCUCAGCACUGA